rfam:Fukomys damarensis contig75473, whole genome shotgun sequence.
AUCCUUCAGUUCAUGAGAGUGAUGAUUGGUUGUUCAUGUAAUAUGCAUGAGAUGUGCCUCCCUCAAACCUUGUUAUGACAUUGACACAUUACCCUUUUGAUC